CACUGACAGGGCCAUCUUCUCAAAACUCUUCUCUCUGUUCAUCUUUCCUCAGCUGUUCCAAAACAACUCCCAGAAUGGAGGGAGCCUCAGGGGAUAAGCCUAAAUUGUUUGUCUGCUGUGGAUCCCAUUGAGAGGCUGUGCUCACCCCUCAAGGCUCCUGAGCUGUGAGGGAAGCCAGGAUUCCUGAGAGUGAGCAGCCCCAAAGGGAAAUGACAGGCCUGAGGGCUGCCACAAAGUAAGCAGUUGUUCUCUGCAAUGCCCUUCCACCAAGAUGUUCCUGCCUAGACCCAGCCGGUCAUGGGCUAAACUUCUGAAUUUGUGAGCCCUAAUAAACCUCUCUUAGCUUUA
ensembl:lncRNA